UCUCCCGACCCACUAAGAAACCUAAUCCUUCUCAACCUUCACACAUGCCAUCAUUUUUUUUCUCGGCUUCCUGACACAAAACAGCCAACGCAUCGACGCCACUCCUCUCUUCUCCAUCUCUUCCUCACGGUCGGCGGUCCACCUCCUUUCCACCGUCGCCGACCGGUCACCAUCUCCUUCCCUCUUCGAUUCACACCGCAGUUAAGGAACUCUUCAUCCACGCCGCCCUUCAUGAUUUUUUGCCCUGACACCAUCGCUUCCACUGUCGGCUUCUCACGCUCCAAACGUCGGACGUUACUCUGCUCUCUACCGCACACCAUGAAGGCCGGUGGUGCCACCCUCGCCUUCCUCAUCACCUCCGGUCAGCUGCCACAUCCACUCUAUCUCAAUCCUUCACCACAUUCCCUUGCCCCCAAUCUGCUGCUGAUGCUUCAUCUCCGCCACGUCCAAAACCAGUCAUCGCCCUUCCUCUCCUCUUCAGGUUAGAAGUGGAGCUUCUUUCAUCAUUGACGUGACUCUGUCCACCUCUGUUGUUAGUUUUCACCCAUCAGGCCGACCAUCUCCUUCUUCGGGCUAGAAGAAGAGAUUCAACCACCCUUCCUCACAGCAGUAGCCCUUCUUCACUUUCCAAUAGUUCUUCCUUCAUUCAUCCUCCGGGCAACAACUUUCUUCCGACCUGUGGUUGAUCUUCAUGUGUUGGUUGGGUUGAUUGGUUAUGCAUCAUUUAUGUCUGUGGAUGUUAAGUGCUCUUCAGGUUAUUGUUGAAUGUUAAGUGCUUGUAUUAAUUUGACCUCCUUUGUUUUAAUUUGCACACAUUAUGGUUUCAUUGAUUCAUGCCCACCAAAUGUUUGAUUAAAUGUCUUUUCCAUUAGAUAGGUUUUAGUUGAUGUAAUUUCUUUAAUUUAAUUCCAUGUAAUGCUUGUUAGUUUAGUGAGUUUGUUUCCACGAUGCUUGUUCUUCAUUUGGAUGUCAUUAGGUUAGACUAGUUUCCACUUCCAUCGGUCCUGAAUAACCUUCUAGUUCACUUGUUUCUUAGACUCUGAGAUCAAUGGAAUGGAAAAGUUAUAAGUUUCUGGUUUUUUGGGUGCACUUCCACUGGUCCUGAAUAACCUCAACUAUUGUGCUAUCCCCUAAAAGUGUUAACUUUGAAGUGCAAGCUCUGAUGGGCUUCAAAGUAUCUAUAGAGGAUCCAUAUAAUGUUUUAGAGAACUGGGACCAGAUCUCUGUUGCUUCGUGUAGCUGGACCAUGAUCACUUGCUUAUCUCAAAACCUGGUGAUUUGGCUUGCAUUUUUAGAUAUUUUGAAGGUGAAUGGAGGUAUUCAAAAACUCUAGCUAAAUAGUUCAGGUAUGAAUGAUUACAGGAGCAGCCACUACAUGCUAUGUGGUACUGCAUCCGAACCUCAGAGGUGUGAUUGAGAAGUACUUCGAUGAAGAACUAUAAGAAGGCUUUGGGAUUUAAGCGAGAAGAUGGUUAAAGCUAAUGAGUAAAGAGCAUUCAAGUCAAGAGGAUAAGUAACAUCUAUCAAGAUACUUUAAGUUCAUGCAAUAAGAUGUAGUCAAUAGGAGCAGUUUUGAGUGUCUUCUAAUUAAAAUUUUUUUGUAUGCGAGUAAUUGUGUUUGUUAUGGAAGUGUAAGGAUGAUAAUUUGUAUAUUUAUCUUGGUUGUUUAUUUAAUAAUAUAUUAUUGAUUGAA